AGGGAAACCGAGUCUUAACUGGGCGUUAAGUUGCAGGGUAUAGACCCGAAACCCGGUGAUCUAGCCAUGGGCAGGUUGAAGGUUGGGUAACACUAACUGGAGGACCGAACCGACUAAUGUUGAAAAAUUAGCGGAUGACUUGUGGCUGGGGGUGAAAGGCCAAUCAAACCGGGAGAUAGCUGGUUCUCCCCGAAAGCUAUUUAGGUAGCGCCUCGUGAACUCAUCUUCGGGGGUAGAGCACUGUUUCGGCUAGGGGGUCAUCCCGACUUACCAACCCGAUGCAAACUGCGAAUACCGAAGAAUGUUAUCACGGGAGACACACGGCGGGUGCUAACGUCCGUCGUGAAGAGGGAAACAACCCAGACCGCCAGCUAAGGUCCCAAAGUCACAGUUAAGUGGGAAACGAUGUGGGAAGGCUCAGACAGCCAGGAUGUUGGCUUAGAAGCAGCCAUCAUUUAAAGAAAGCGUAAUAGCUCACUGGUCGAGUCGGCCUGCGCGGAAGAUGUAACGGGGCUAAACUGUGCACCGAAGCUGCGGCAGCGACGCUUAUGCGUUGUUGGGUAGGGGAGCGUUCUGUAAGCCUGCGAAGGUGUCCUGUGAGGGAUGCUGGAGGUAUCAGAAGUGCGAAUGCUGACAUAAGUAACGAUAAAGCGGGUGAAAAGCCCGCUCGCCGGAAGACCAAGGGUUCCUGUCCAACGUUAAUCGGGGCAGGGUGAGUCGACCCCUAAGGCGAGGCCGAAAGGCGUAGUCGAUGGGAAACGGGUUAAUAUUCCCGUACUUGGUGUUACUGCGAAGGGGGGACGGAGAAGGCUAUGUUGGCCGGGCGACGGUUGUCCCGGUUUAAGCGUGUAGGCUGGUUUUCCAGGCAAAUCCGGAAAAUCAAG
rnacentral:rRNA from 2 species